rnacentral:lncRNA from 1 species
UAGAAGGGUUCACUUUACACCUGUUUUGCUUCUCACAGAUUAAUGUUGAAGCAAGUUCUCGCUCCAGUGUUGUGGUCAUCUCGCUGAACCAGGCAGUCAACAUGGUCCAGAGCAUGGUUCCUUCAGUGGAAGAAGAAGACAGAGGCACGUUGUCUAAACGGAGCAUCGUCCAAAGCUGCGGAAAUGUGCCGAUGGUUCGUCUUCAUGGGUACCACGGGAGUCUGAGCCAGGCGCUGGGCUGGAAUGUCACAAUCAUUCAGGUGUGGAGUGUGAACACCUUCAGCAGCACAGUCAGAUCUCCCAGGAGCAGCGAAGAAACCUACGCGAGCCUCAUCACCUCGGAUCCGAGCAGCAAUGCAGUCAUCGCCAAGCAUCGAGUGCAAAGGAACGCAGAGAAAAGUCAAGAAAAUGAUGCAGAAACGCAGCAUGAAAACAAGAAGCGAAACAGGACAUCACUGGAAUCGCCACCCUUCUUGAGUACGGAAGACAAUUACACCUCUGCUGUGAAAAGGACAUUGCUGGAAUCACCACCCUUCUUGAGCAGCAGUAACGGGUCACAAUCGUAACAAUGUUAGUUCCUGUACUGUCUAUUCCACCUUGUUUAAAACAGUAUUUCAACUUCUCAGCCUUCUGACCAAGGAUAAAGUUCUGGACAGAGUGCAGAGAUUAGAUUGCCAGAGUGCCAUCGACUGCGUGACUGAGUGUGAUUUGGUCGCUGCUGUUAUGGGGGAACCUCUGCCUCCCAGCACACUUUUUUUUUUUUUUGGUCUGGGUAGCACAUGGAGCCCAAGUGCAGCUUUGUCUAGUGAUUUUUCCUAAUUGCUCAGUGUAAGGUCCCUCAAGACAACAGGUUCAAGGAUCCCGACUGAAGAACACCAUCCACUUUCACUGGUGGAACGGGGAUGAUGGUGGUGGGUUUCCUGAGCAGGUUCCCUAACCCUUCGUCCUUGGACUCAUGAGACUUCCAGGUAAGGAAACGGUCUGCAUCACUAUUGACUGAGGAGCUGUAGCAGAGGGUUCGGGAGCCACUCUCCUACUUUACUGAUCCAAAGUGGAGGGAUGACUAACUGUCACUGAGCACAUCUUCAACCCCUUGUCUCCAGCUAUUGAGAGCCUUCUUAGGGAAGUUUGUGUUUAAAGGACGUGAGGACCGGACGGAUGCGGUCGCCAUCUGGAAUGGGCUUGGCUGUUUUCAUGUGCGUCUUCAUGGAUUUUGCACCACACCGGGACUUGGGCGAGGCUGGAGGCUACCAGUUUGAGGGACAGUCUCCCUCCCACCACCUGAGUUUUAGCUGAGGACAUACUGGCAAGGACUAAGGGCAUGAAGUGCCAAAGGUGGCAGGGAAAUAUUUUAAUCUAUUACAUAGUGAUGGUUUGUUUUGGAUGUGCAUUUGGUGUUAACAUCUGGCUAUGCUUUCUAUAAUUUUGAGUCCCUCGUGGAUAAUGUCUCAUGUUAACCAAAAUGUGACUUUUUGUGUAGAACUUUGCAUUUUUUUGAUACUUAAUACUUUUUCCAACUUCAUUAA